rnacentral:rRNA from 1 species
GUAGGGGGCCAGCGUUGCUCGGAAUUACUGGGUGUGAAGGGUUCGUAGGCGGUGCGGCAAGCUGGAAGUGAAAUCUCUGGGCUCAACCCAAAGGCUGCUUUCAAAACUGCUGUGCUUGAGUGUGGAAGAGGCGCGUGGAAUUGCAGGUGUAGCGGUGAAAUGCGUAGAUAUCUGCAGGAACACCCGUGGCGAAAGCGGCGCGCUGGACCACAACUGACGCUGAGGAACGAAAGCUAGGGGAGCAAACAGGAUUAGAUACCCUGGUAGUCCUAGCCCUAAACGAUCAGGACUUGGGGUGGCUCACGUUCGUGAGUCGUCCCGGAGCUAACGCGUUAAGUCCUGCACCUGGGGAGUACGGUCGCAAGACUG